rnacentral:rRNA from 1 species
GAUGAACGCUAGCGGCAGGCUUAAUACAUGCAAGUCGAGGGACAGCACAGGUAGCAAUACUGGGUGGUAACCAGCAAACGGGUGCGGAACACGUACACAACCUUCCUUUAAGUGGGGGAUAGCCCAGAGAAAUUUGGAUUAAUACCCCGUAAUAUAGUUGAAUGGCAUCAUUUGAUUAUUAUAGCUACGGCGCUUAAUGAUAGGUGUGCGGCUGAUUAGAUAGUUGGCGGGGUAACGGCCCACCAAGUCUACGAUCAGUAGCUGAUGUGAGAGCAUGAUCAGCCACACGGGCACUGAGACACGGGCCCGACUCCUACGGGAGGCAGCAGUAAGGAAUAUUGGUCAAUGGACGCAAGUCUGAACCAGCCAUGCCGCGUGAAGGAUUAAGGUCCUCUGGACUGUAAACUUCUUUUAUUUGGGACGAAAAAGGGCCUUUCUAGGUCAACUGACGGUACCAGAUGAAUAAGCACCGGCUAACUCCGUGCCAGCCGCCGCUGUAAUAC